GGAGAAUGCAAUUCUUAGUAAAAGAGAAAGCACAGGCCUGACUUGGGCAGUAGCAUUGUGGGUAGAGCAAAAGGGGUAGAUGUACAGAUUUUUAGGAAGUGGAAAAAAAGGAAGACGUGGAUAUUGGAUAUAGAACAGGUAUAAGACACAGGACAAGAGGCCAUAUGCAGUUUUCCCCUUGGCUGAUCUUUUCUUCUUGUGGCUUAUUCCACAAACAAGAUGCAGAAUGGCAUAUACAGAACCCUGCAACGGCCCAGCCUCAUCACAAGAGAGGAACAGACCAUAGAGGGGUGGGGCAGAAAGAGGAAUGAUUUUUUUUUAACUGCGCCUUUUAAACUGCGAAGCAGCUAAGCUCCAUAUAUACAGAAGAGCCCCAUGGAAGUCUGGGUGUAUAUAGGGUUAUGUUUUCCACUGUUGUCUGCGGCAAACAGAGUUGAUUACAGAUGCUCUGAAAGGAAUUUAAGUAUUUUCUCUUGCUACUCAGGAGGUGAUGGUGUGAUGGGAAACAGUAAUUCUUUUUAGAAAAUAAAAAACCUUUGGCUAAACAGUGACUACAAUAAUAAGGUGGGAGAUCUGUUUCUGUGACCCUUCUGUAUAUUUCAUAGAAUGGCUUGGUUUCCUGAAGCCUACUUUGCAAUUGUUGAAGUGAUUUGCCCACUCUAGAGAAGGUAUAUGAAGUGGAAAUGGAAUAUGAAGAGAUAUUCGUACAAGGGAACAAGGUGUGUAUUCCUAGCCUUAAUUUUAAGGUUAUAUGUCU
rnacentral:lncRNA from 1 species